GGAUUAGUUAUAUAUAUGCACAGAAACAUUAGUAUUUCUGUGCUUAUGACAUAUUGUUUCAAUACAUGUACAUUGCACCAAGUUUUGUUAGAGAUGCUUUUCUGCAGUGUAUGCAUAUCCAAAUUCAUAUACAUAUAAAUUUAUGUGUAUCUAUGAAUAUUCAUACCAUAUCAAUGCAAUUUUUCCCCCAGGAUUGAAGACACUGUCAAUG
rnacentral:misc_RNA from 1 species